rnacentral:lncRNA from 1 species
CGAUAGUUUGCUAAGUACUUCGAUAAUAACGUCAAACAAACAAACGCCCCAAACACUCGAUGGGAUCCACGCCGAUUACCGCCAAAGAGAUUUUUGGCCUGAGGUCGACACAUCAUCCUCAAAAUCACACCAGGAGUUUGAGACCCAUCUGUAAAGCAGCUUACAAAAGUGUUGCCAACUAUUUCCAAGAGGAGGGAAGACUGCAGACUUGGAUCCAGACAGAUCUACGGCCUAAGCAGUUUUACGUCCCAGGCAGUUUUACACCCAUGUUGUCCCUGAUGCGUCCAGUAGAGGGAGGCAGUGCAGUAUUUUCUAUUAAGCCUCCAGAACUCUACCACACUCAACCAUAAUUGCAUUCAAUUACAUUUAAUAUAAUGCAAUGUUCUAGUUUAAACAAUUAAACUAUCAUAUGUCUAUAAAUGCAAAGAAAUCUCACAAUUUUAAAUGGUCUACUGAUUUUUAUUUAUAUAGCUAUACAGUGCAUUUUGUAUAUAAGCUAUGAAGUUUGCAUUGCACAUGCAUUCAUAUAGUUUCACAUUGUUUUAUAAUGUUUAUUGUGACAAUUUGUUACAAAGAAAAUAAUAAAAUAUGGGAAAGUCGGUAUCACAAUUUGUGGCUGCAAAUAAAAAAUAAAUAAUGACUUUGUCCUUUUGUUUUAA